UACAGAGGGCGCGAGCGUUGUCCGGAAUCACUGGGCGUAAAGGGCGCGUAGGUGGCCACCAUAAGGCCGCUGUGAAAGUCUGGGGCUCAACCCCAGAUCGGCAGCGGCGACUGUGGGGCUCGGGUACUGUAGAGGCAGGUGGAAUUCCGGGUGUAGCGGUGGAAUGCGUAGAGAUCCGGAAGAACACCGGUGGCGAAGGCGGCCUGCUGGGCUAUUGCUGACACUGAGGCGCGACAGCGUGGGGAGCAAACAGG
rnacentral:rRNA from 1 species